rnacentral:rRNA from 1 species
AUUGAACGCUGGCGGCAUGGCUAAAACAUGCAAGUCGAACGAUCCCUUCGGGGAGAGUGGCGAAAGGGCGAGGAAUAGAAUCGAAUGUACCCCAAGGUGGGGGAUAGCCUCUGGAAACGGAGGGUAAUACCCCAUGUGCUCUACGGAGGAAAGGUUUACCGCCUUGGGAGCAGCGAUUUCUCCUAUCAGGUAGUUGGUGAGGUAACGGCUCACCAAGCCGAAGACGGGUAGCGGGUGUGAGAGCAUGACCCGCCGCAUCGGGACUGAGACACUGCCCGGACUCCUACGGGAGGCUGCAGUAACGAAUCUUCCGCAAUGGGCGAAAGCCUGACGGAGCAAUGCCGCGUGUGGGAUGAAGCAUCUUCGAUGUGUAAACCACUGUCAGGGUCUAGGAAUACUGACCAGACCCAAAGGAAGGGCCGGCUAAUUCCGUG